rnacentral:piRNA from 1 species
UGGUGGAAUAUUUUCAUGAUUGAGAGUG